ensembl:lncRNA
CUGGAUCCUGCCAUCAACUACAUGAACUCGGAAGUGAAUCCUUUCCUGUGUGAGGCUCACUCGGAAGUGAAUCCUUUCCUGUCAGAGGCUCGCUCGGAAGUGAAUCCUUUCCUGUCAGAGGCUCGCUCGGAAGUGAAUCCUUUCCUGUCAGAGGCUCGCUCGGAAGUGAAUCCUUUCCUGUCUGAGGCUCAGGUAUCAGAAGUGCCUUUUAUAUAUCCUAAGGAAGAUGAGAGGCCAGCAAAAGCAACCAGGAGAAGAGAUCGGAGAGGUGAUACCCUGGGAAGGUGAGGAGACAGACUGGCCCGCGGCACCGAAGCUGCUGAGUCAUCAGUGAAAAUGCGGACCCGUUUCUGCAAAUCAAGUUCCACUUUCCCCGAGACAUCCAUUUCAUAAGAGAACAAAACUGGUUCCUGAGUUACGACAAAAAUCCCUCCGUGGAAUGUAGCACGUUGACAACUCAUGCAUUUUAACUCCACCAUUUCCUGGUAAAAUAGUCAUAUUACUCAACACUGAGAAGGAAGCUAAUUCUUGUCCUUUUAUAAUUCGGCACAAUGGCCAUAAACCCAAAGGAAGGAAAAUAACGGGCUCUCAUGGCCUAAAUGAACCAACAUUCAUUUCUGCUCCACCACCGCCUUCCCUCUGCUUCUUAAGGAGGGUGGCUUCCAGGGCCCCCGACGGCUGCCUCCCCGCUCCUGUCACAGGAGGGACCUGGGAAGAGCAGAGAAGGCGGAGUCUUGGCGACAGAGGCUGGGACUCAAAUACUGGAUAUGGCUUUUAUUAGCUAUGUGAUCUUGCUCAUUUAUCUUAUGUGACCUGCAAUUUUUUCAUCUGUGAAAGGGAGAUAAUAAUUCAUGGCUUUUUGGAUUAAGAAUUAAACAGAAUAAUGAAUGCAGCUAAUACAGUAUCUGGCACAAAAGGAGUACUCGGAAAUGUGAGUCCCCUUUCACGGUACCCCCGCCCUUGCUUUUUAAAAGUCAG